UUUUAUGAAACAGCUCUCGUUUUUUAUUUCUAAAUAAAAUAAAAUUAAAGCAACCAACCACAUGUUUAACACGAAAUGUAUAAUUAAAAAUAUUAUCAUUGAUAUAAAACUAUCAUCCAAUUGUCACAUUCAUUUGUAAGACAUUUUACAUAUUAAAAUAAACUUUCCCAGCAGUAACACAAUAUUUCAGAUUUGGAGUGUAGCGAGGGACCUACUAUUGUUUUACUAUGUGUAUGUGUUUUUUUUUCCGGUUUAUAACCGACUUUUCGAAAAGAAAUUUUUGUUCCGAUGUAUAAAGUAUAGUACUUUUUAUGAAAGGUAGUUUUUUCUAGCUGGUGCGUACACGAAAAAUACGUAGAACUUUCGGGAAAAUGCAUGAAAAUAAUACCCAUAUACUGCAAUUAUUUUGAAUUUUGUUUUCCGAUAGAAUUCAGUUAAAAAUAUUCAUAGAGACUUGAAACUUCGACAACAAACUCAUAUUUGCUUUUUCUAGACGUGAUAAAUUUUCAAAACAACUGAACCAAUUUCGGACAUUUUAAUUUUGCGAUUUUGUUACGUCGUUUUCUUUUUUUUUUUUUGGUAAAUACUCUGCGGAUAAAAUUGUUAGACUAUAUAGAAAUGCUCUAAAUUUUGACAGGAUGUUCAUUAAAAGUCGUACUAAGUGAUAAAAAAAAAAUAUAAAAAUAUUCUAAUGUAGUAAUGAGUGUAAUGUAUUAUCAUUAUUUUUUUUAUUACAUUAGAGUUUUAAAAUCAAAUUUGGACGAAAUAUUACGGCCUUUCAAAACACUCAUAACCGAACUUCGAUGGUUUAUCGUUGGUUACAGGUAUGCAUCAAAUAACUUUAUGUAUCCCGCCGUCUCAACUGUCCACCAACAACAGUGGCCUCGCCCGUUCCCAGUAGCAGCUCUCAUAAAAAAUAAGAUCGCCCAGAACGGCUAAUGCAAACAGACUGUAAACCCAACGAAAACAGUCUCAUGAAGUCACAACGAUCCACGUUAAUUCGUCUCGGCUCUUCUGUAUUCUAAUGGUAAAUAUUUAAAACUGUAAUCUGUACG